rnacentral:rRNA from 1 species
UACGUAGGGUGCGAGCGUUAAUCGGAAUUACUGGGCGUAAAGUGUGCGCAGGCGGCGUUGCAAGUCGAGUGUGAAAUCCCCCGAGCUUAACUUGGGAAUUGCGCUCGAAACUACGAUGCUCGAGUGUGGCAGAGGAAGGUGGAAUUCCACGUGUAGCGGUGAAAUGCUUAGAUAUCGUCAAGAACACCUAUAGCGAAGGCAGCUUACUAGGCUGUAACUGACGCUGAGGCACGAAAGCGUGGGGAGCAAACAGG